GGGGGAACAGAGACGUCAUUCGCUUGGGAAGCAUACACAGAAUCUCGAGUGUGCCAGGUCCAAAGACAGAGGCAAUGAUUUCACAGGAACCUGGGCCAGGCCUGCCUGCUGGAUUUGGAGGUCGCAAGAGCCUCGUG